GGUGGCUCAGUGAUAGAGCACUUGCCUUGCAUGCAUGAAGCCCUGGGUUUGAUUCCUGAGCACCA
rnacentral:tRNA from 1 species